rnacentral:rRNA from 1 species
ACGGAGGGUGCAAGCGUUAUUCGGAUUCAUUGGGCUUAAAGGGCGCGCAGGCGGCUAUGUAAGUCAGAGGUGAAAUUUUUGAGCUUAACCCGGGAAGUGCAGUUGAUACUGUAUAGCUUGAAUAUGGUUGAUGUAAGUGGAAUUCCUGGUGUAGAGGUGAAAUGCGUAGAUAUUACGCAGAAUACCGAUUGCGAAGGCAACUUACUAGCCCGUUAUUGACGCUCAGGCGCGAAAGUGUGGGGAUCAAACAG